AGAACUAAUUGAGCUUCUUGUUGCCAAACAAGAAGCAGAUCCUGAGGAUUUAAGAGAAGGUCAGAAACGGAUGAUGGCAUUGUUCCAUGUGAAAAUAUUCUCAUUCCAGCUGGAGUAAAAUAUUUACAGUAUUUUGGUCGAAUAUGGAAGGACCAGUCACAUAUUCAAUUGGUAU